UUCCUACGGGGCGCAGCAGUAGGGAAUUUUCGUCAAUGGGCGCAAGCCUGAACGAGCAAUGCCGCGUGAACGAGGAAGGUCUUCGGAUCGUAAAGUUCUGUUGAAGGGGAAAAAGAGCGGAGAGAGGAAAUGAACUCCGAUUGAUAUUACCCUUCGAGGAAGUCACGGCUAACUACGUGCCAGCAGCCGCGGUAAUACGUAGGUGGCGAGCGUUAUCCGGAUUUAUUGGGUUUAAAGGGUGCGUAGGCGGAAUGCCAAGUCAGCGGUAAAAUCGCGGGGCUCAACCUCGCUCCGCCGUUGACACG
rnacentral:rRNA from 1 species